rnacentral:rRNA from 1 species
GAUAAGGAGCUUGCUCCUUUGACGUUAGCGGCGGACGGGUGAGUAACACGUGGAUAACCUACCUAUAAGACUGGGAUAACUUCGGGAAACCGGAGCUAAUACCGGAUAACAUAUUGAACCGCAUGGUUCAAUAGUGAAAGGCGGCUUUGCUGUCACUUAUAGAUGGAUCCGCGCCGUAUUAGCUAGUUGGUAAGGUAACGGCUUACCAAGGCAACGAUACGUAGCCGACCUGAGAGGGUGAUCGGCCACACUGGAACUGAGACACGGUCCAGACUCCUACGGGAGGCAGCAGUAGGGAAUCUUCCGCAAUGGGCGAAAGCCUGACGGAGCAACGCCGCGUGAGUGAUGAAGGUCUUCGGAUCGUAAAACUCUGUUAUCAGGGAAGAACAAAUGUGUAAGUAACUGUGCACAUCUUGACGGUACCUGAUCAGAAAGCCACGGCUAACUACGUGCCAGCAGCCGCGGUAAUACGUAGGUGGCAAGCGUUAUCCGGAAUUAUUGGGCGUAAAGCGCGCGUAGGCGGUUUUUUAAGUCUGAUGUGAAAGCCCACGGCUCAACCGUGGAGGGUCAUUGGAAACUGGAAAACUUGAGUGCAGAAGAGGAAAGUGGAAUUCCAUGUGUAGCGGUGAAAUGCGCAGAGAUAUGGAGGAACACCAGUGGCGAAGGCGACUUUCUGGUCUGUAACUGACGCUGAUGUGCGAAAGCGUGGGGAUCAAACAGGAUUAGAUACCCUGGUAGUCCACGCCGUAAACGAUGAGUGCUAAGUGUUAGGGGGUUUCCGCCCCUUAGUGCUGCAGCUAACG